rnacentral:rRNA from 1 species
UAGGGAAUCUUCGGCAAUGGGGGCAACCCUGACCGAGCAACGCCGCGUGAGUGAAGAAGGUUUUCGGAUCGUAAAGCUCUGUUGUAAGAGAAGAACGUGUGUGAGAGUGGAAAGUUCACACAGUGACGGUAACUUACCAGAAAGGGACGGCUAACUACGUGCCAGCAGCCGCGGUAAUACGUAGGUCCCGAGCGUUGUCCGGAUUUAUUGGGCGUAAAGCGAGCGCAGUCGGUUUAAUAAGUCUGAAGUUAAAGGCAGUGGCUUAACCAUUGUUCGCUUUGGAAACUGUUAAACUUGAGUGCAGAAGAGGAGAGUGGAAUUCAAUGUGUAGCGGUGAAGUGCGUAGAUAUAUGGAGGAGCACCGGUGGCGAAAGCGGCGCUCUGGUCUGUAACUGACGCUGAGGCUCGAAAGCGUGGGGAGCAAACAGG